rnacentral:misc_RNA from 1 species
AACGCACGAGACCUGCGGACCUGCGGAAGGAUCAUUAAUGAGAAGCUGCCCCUCGUGGGUAGACCUCCCACCCUCUGUGAACUCACCUUUGUUGCUUUGGCAGGCCCGUCCUCUGGACCGCCGGCUUCGGCUGGCCCGUGCCUGCCAGAGGAUUCCAAACCCUGUCUGUCAGUGUUGUCUGAGUCUAUAUGAAAUCGUUAAAACUUUUAACAAUGGAUCUCUAGAUCGGAAGAGCACACG